CUCUACCGUUAACCGUCAACGUGCGGGGUACAUAUGAGUACCGGUAGCAGAUAAACUUUUGAUUAAAAUCACUCUACCGUCAACCGUCAACGUGCGGGGUACAUAUGAGUACCGGUAGCAGAUAAACUUUUGAUGAAAAACACUCUACCGUCAACCGUCAACGUGCGGGGUACAUCUGUGUACCUGUAGCAGACAAACACUCGUACCUGAUCAUUUGUUUUCCUCGUCCAAGUCCUGGCCCAGCAUCUUGACCGCCAUAGUUCUGAGGACAGGGCCCUGUGGACGCCAUGACCACUGCAGUAUGCCAGACUACGCCCCUGGAGUGGUGGAGACACCUGGAAACUUUUAACAUUUCUCACCAGGUUGGAUUUCUCUUGGAGAACCCCUUGGAUCAUCUUCCUGGAUAUUUUUUACCAUGGGAAAAACUCGGCAAGAAUGCCGCCCAACUUAUGGCAUCGCGGAAACUUAGAAGUGAAGUGUACAAAUUGCCACUCCUAGAUUUUCACCUACUGAACGGACAGGAGGAGUAUUGUCUGGCCCAUACACUGUUGGCUACGAUUGCCCAUUGUUUUGUGUGGCAAGAUAAUGACAUACCCAAGAUUCUUCCAAAGGCAGUCGCCAUUCCAUGGUUCCACAUUUCCCAGUAUUUGGGCCUCAACCCAGUCUAUUGUUACCUGGACUGCGUUCUAGCUAUGGGGAGGAAGGUGGACCCGAACAGGGAAUUAGAUCUGAGCAACCUGGAGGUGAUUUGCCCCGCCCCUGGAAGUCCACACACAGAUUGGUUUUCACUGGUUUUAAUCCAGGUGGAGCUUGACUUCGCUAAAGGAAUCCAGGAUAUCGUUGACAUCUACGACUCUAUGGACUCUGAGGAUGAGAGGAGGCUGAUAUUGGGAUUAAAAGGCAUCGAAAAUACCGUGCGCCGUAUGCAGCAAACUACCACCAGAAUGUACGAGAGGCUUGAUCCAGCAGUGUUUUAUAAUGUUCUGAGACCAUUUUAUGAAGGCUGGGGAGCCCACAGCAAACUGCUUCCUGAGGGUUUGAUUUUUGAAGGCAUAAGCGACACGCCGUUACAGUUUGUAGGCGGCAGUGCAGCACAGAGCUCCACUAUACAGGUCUUGGACGCAGUGCUGGGAGUUGAACACUCAGAAGAUGCGGACCGUUAUCUGAAGCAAAUCAGGGAGUAUAUGCCAGCCGGACACAGGGAGUUCCUAUACACCGUUGAAACUGGGCCAUCCCUGAAGACUUACGUUCAGCAGUCCCAGCACGAUGGAGUGAAAACAGCGUACAACCAGUGCUUGAAGGCCUUGGUGGACUUUCGAACAUCUCAUCUCCUAGUGGCAGUAGACUACGUUCUUAAACCGUCACAAAACAAAGAAGAACGCCAACACCACUCGGCUCAGGGGACAGGAGGGACAAAUUUCGUGUCAUUUCUGAAAUCAACACGUGGUCGGACAGUUAGGAGUGUUCUUCAGCUAGAUGGCGACACGCCGGUUGUCAAUAAAGAACUCAAUAUAAACACGUAACGUAGGACUACACAAAAAUGAAAAAGUAUCCCAUCUACUGGCGUCAUUACACACCUGAAGGAAACUUGGUGCCAGUCGCUUGCCUUUUAUUAAUGCGCCUUUUUAAGUAGUGAUGUAAGCGGUGUUAAGUGACUACGUGAGAGUAAUUUAUGUGUUGACACUUCACAAACAUUAGAGUACUAAGAUCUCUUGAAUAUAAUCAGAAUUGACAUGCCGUUUCUGAUAAAAAAGCACGUUUUGUCAGUCAGCGUCAGGCCACUAGAACCCCGGGAGGCAUAUAAAGGUCAGAGGUCAGGACAUACAUUGUAUCAUAAGAGAUCAGAGGUCGGGACACAGGCAUACAAAUGACAGGACAUAUAUUGCAUACAGAGGUCAGAGGUCAUGACAUACACUGUGGCAUACAGAGGUCAUGACAUUGUGGCAUACAAGGUCAGAGGUCAUGCAUAUAUUGUGGCAUACAGAGGUCAUGACAUACAUUGUGGCAUACAGAGGUCAUGACAUACAUUGUGGCAUACAGAGGUCAUGACAUUGUGGCAUACAGAGGUCAUGACAUACAUUGUGGCAUACAGAGGUCAGAGGUCAUGGAAAUGGCAGAGGAUGAUGACCCAAUCACUAGUAGUAUGAUGUUCCCUAAGUUUGACAAGUGUAUAAAGAGAAAUAAUAUUUUAUCAUUAGUUUUAUUCUCAGUGGUAAUUUUUAAAGAUUUGUGCCUUUUAAUACAUUUUAAAAAUACUGAUAAUGACAGGCCAUUUUCUGUUUCAGAUAUAUCUUGCUGCCAUUGAACUGCCUGUUGUAUUGUGUAUAGUUUUAAUGUCAAAUCAAAUAUUCAUGGGUUGUAUUUUUGUCCGACAAGGAGAACCAUAAUAAAUGUUGAGCAUAGA
rnacentral:misc_RNA from 1 species